rnacentral:rRNA from 1 species
UACAGAGGGGGCAAGCGUUAUUCGGAAUUAUUGGGCGUAAAGGGCUCGUAGGCGGUCCAUCGCGUCGGGAGUGAAAAGCUGGGGCUCAACCCAGGAACUGCGUCCGAUACUGGUUGGCUUGAAUCCGGGAGAGGGAUGUGGAAUUCCAGGUGUAGCGGUGAAAUGCGUAGAUAUCUGGAGGAACACCGGUGGCGAAGGCGACAUCCUGGACCGGUAUUGACGCUGAGGCGCGAAAGCCAGGGGAGCAAACGGG